rnacentral:lncRNA from 1 species
GGAUGGUUCCUCCAGCCUGAAUUAUAUGUGUUAGAGAAUGGAUCAUUGAUAGGUUUGGAGUAACCUUAGGCAGCUUGAACUUGUUCUUGAAUGAAAGGUAGAAACUGUGCAGCCAUUGGACAUUCGUUCACAUGAUGGGCUGGGCUAGCACAGAUAGAAUAAAUCUCCUGAUAAUUAGGUGGUGGUAUGUAUUGUGUAGGAGAUUGUUGACCUAAUGCUAGGAACUGAUCAAAUUUCUGGACAAAAAGGUUGACUUUAUCUAAUCUUUGGGUUAUUAGGUUCAGAUCGGCCUCAGGACUAGAGUCUGUUUGCUUGAUCUCAAAAAUUUCUGUCCGCUUUUGGUGAG